rnacentral:rRNA from 1 species
GAACGGGUGAGUAACACGUGGGUGAUCUGCCCUGCACUUUGGGAUAAGCCUGGGAAACUGGGUCUAAUACCGAAUAUGACCAUGCGCCUCCUGGUGUGUGGUGGAAAGCUUUUGCGGUGUGGGAUGGGCCCGCGGCCUAUCAGCUUGUUGGUGGGGUAAUGGCCUACCAAGGCGACGACGGGUAGCCGGCCUGAGAGGGUGACCGGCCACACUGGGACUGAGAUACGGCCCAGACUCCUACGGGAGGCAGCAGUGGGGAAUAUUGCACAAUGGGCGCAAGCCUGAUGCAGCGACGCCGCGUGAGGGAUGACGGCCUUCGGGUUGUAAACCUCUUUCAGCACAGACGAAGCGCAAGUGACGGUAUGUGCAGAAGAAGGACCGGCCAACUACGUGCCAGCAGCCGCGGUAAUACGUAGGGUCCGAGCGUUGUCCGGAAUUACUGGGCGUAAAGAGCUCGUAGGUGGUUUGUCGCGUUGUUCGUGAAAACUCACAGCUUAACUGUGGGCGUGCGGGCGAUACGGGCAGACUUGAGUACUGCAGGGGAGACUGGAAUUCCUGGUGUAGCGGUGGAAUGCGCAGAUAUCAGGAGGAACACCGGUGGCGAAGGCGGGUCUCUGGGCAGUAACUGACGCUGAGGAGCGAAAGCGUGGGGAGCGAACAGGAUUAGAUACCCUGGUAGUCCACGCCGUAAACGGUGGGUACUAGGUGUGGGUUUCCUUCCUUGGGAUCCGUGCCGUAGCUAACGCAUUAAGUACCCCGCCUGGGGAGUACGGCCGCAAGGCUAAAACUCAAAGAAAUUGACGGGGGCCCGCACAAGCGGCGGAGCAUGUGGAUUAAUUCGAUGNCACGCGAAGAACCUUACCUGGGUUUG